UUGCUUGAUUUUGCUUCUUCCUUAUACGAACAAGGAAAGGAAAAAAUAAAAAUAAAAACUCCUUCCCCCACUCUGUCGAACAAACCACGCUCCACCACUUCUCUUUCCCCAAAAUUCCGUAAGCUUCCUCUGGAUUUGCUCUGAAAUUGAAGGCCGGUGUUAGGUUCAGUCAUAUAUCCAACUUUCCCCCAAAUGUCCUAAUUUUCCAGUCCAUCUCACGGGAAGAAUCUCAUGGUUUCUGGUUUUGUGAAGAUUGGGUUGUGGAAAGAAGAUCGAAGAUGAUCUCCACGUGAAGCUCUCUUCCUAUGCGAAGCUCAGAGCUAGGUUUACCGGCCAAGGAGUUUGUUGAAGCUAUUAUCAGUAUACGAGCUGGCUCGAAGAUUAAUCUUAUAGAGUUAAAGGGUCUUGAUCAACAAAGGCAAAAGCUUUUAGUGACUCACAUCCGAGACAAAGCGAGUGAACUAUCUUCUUGUUUAAUGCUCGUGGCUCUUUGUGAGGUGGUAAUGCUGAUUAUGCAAUGG